rnacentral:rRNA from 1 species
AUUGAACGCUGGCGGCAGGCCUAACACAUGCAAGUCGAACGAGUGGCGGACGGGUGAGUAAUGUCUGGGAAACUGCCUGAUGGAGGGGGAUAACUACUGGAAACGGUAGCUAAUACCGCAUACCAUCGGAUGUACCCAGAUGGGAUUAGCUAGUAGGUGGGGUAAAGGCUCACCUAGGCGACGAUCCCUAGCUGGUCUGUGAGGAUGACCAGCCACACUGGAACUGAGACACGGUCCAGACUCCUACGGGAGGCAGCAGUGGGGAAUAUUGCAAAAUGGGCGCAAGCCUGAUGCAGCCAUGCCGCGUGUAUGAAGAAGGACUUCGGGUUGUAAAGUACUUUCAGCGUGGAGGCGUUACCCGCAGAAGAAGCACCGGCUAACUCCGUGCCAGCAGCCGCGGUAAUUC